GAUGAAGAACGUAGCGAAAUGCGAUAAGUAAUGUGAAUUGCAGAAUUCAGUGAAUCAUCGAAUCUUUGAACGCACAUUGCGCCCGCCAGUAUUCUGGCGGGCAUGCCUGUUCGAGCGUCAUUUCAACCCUCAAGCCCCAGCGGCCUGGUGUUGGGGACCGGCGACCUCGCCCGAGCCCGCCCUCCGGGGCGCGUGCCCGGUGCGUCCGCCGCCCCCGAAAUGAAUUGGCGGCCUCGUCGCGGCCUCCUCUGCGUAGUAGCACAACCUCGCAAGCGGGAGCGCGACGCGGCCACUGCCGUAAAACGCCCAACUUUUUUAGAGUUGACCUCGGAUCAGGUAGGAAUACCCGCUGAACUUAAGCAUAUCAAUAAGCGGAGA
rnacentral:misc_RNA from 1 species